rnacentral:rRNA from 1 species
GACGAACGCUGGCGGCAUGCCUAAUACAUGCAAGUCGAGCGAACAGAUGAAGUGCUUGCACUUCUGACGUUAGCGGCGAACGGGUGAGUAACACGUAAGGAAUCUACCUAUAAGCGGGGGAUAACAUUCGGAAACGGGUGCUAAUACCGCAUAAUAUCUUCUUCCGCAUAGAAGGAGAUUGAAAGACGGCUCUGCUGUCACUUAUAGAUGACCUUGCGGUGCAUUAGUUAGUUGGUGGGGUAACGGCCUACCAAGACGAUGAUGCAUAGCCGACCUGAGAGGGUGAUCGGCCACAUUGGGACUGAGACACGGCCCAAACUCCUACGGGAGGCAGCAGUAGGGAAUCUUCCGCAAUGGGCGAAAGCCUGACGGAGCAAUGCCGCGUGAGUGAAGAAGGCCUUCGGGUCGUAAAACUCUGUUAUAAGAGAAGAACAAAUUGUAGAGUAACUGCUACAGUCUUGGCGGUAUCUUAUCAGAAAGCCACGGCUAACUACGUGCCAGCCGCCGCCGUAA